rnacentral:rRNA from 1 species
GAUGAACGCUGGCGGCGUGCCUAAUACAUGCAAGUCGAGCGAACGGACGAGAAGCUUGCUUCUCUGAUGUUAGCGGCGGACGGGUGAGUAACACGUGGAUAACCUACCUAUAAGACUGGGAUAACUUCGGGAAACCGGAGCUAAUACCGGAUAAUAUUUUGAACCUCAUGGUUCAAAAGUGAAAGACGGUCUUGCUGUCACUUAUAGAUUGAUCCGAGCUGCUUUAGCUAGUUGGUAAGGACACGGAUUACCAAGGCAACGAUGCAUAACCGACCGGAGUGGGGGAUCGGCCGCCCGGGAAGUGAGACAGCCUCCAGACUCCUAAGGGAGGCACCAGUAGGGAACCUGCGGCAGUGGGCGAAAGCAUGACGGAGCAAAGCAGCGGGAGGGAUGAAGGUUUUCGGAUCGUAAAACAAUGUUAUUGGGGAGGAAAAUAUGUGUAAGUAACAGGAAACAUCUGAACGUAACAUAAGAAGAAAGCACGGCUUAACUACGU